AGGACGAACGCUGGCGGCGUGCCUAACACAUGCAAGUCGAACGGGGUCCAUCCGGUGGCAACACCGGAGAAGACCCAGUGGCGAACGGGUGCGGAACACGUGAGCAACCUGCCCCGAAGAUCGGGAUAACGGCGGGAAACUGCCGCUAAUACCGAAUGCCCCCACGAGCCCGCAUGGGUUUGUGAGGAAAGGAUUCUGCUUCGGGAGGGGCUCGCGGCCUAUCAGCUUGUUGGUGGGGUAACGGCCUACCAAGGCGAUGAUCGGUAUCCGGCCUGAGAGGGCGCACGGACACACUGGAACUGAAACACGGUCCAGACUCCUACGGGCGGCAGC
rnacentral:rRNA from 1 species